rnacentral:rRNA from 1 species
GCGGUGAAUACGUUCCCGGGCCUUGUACACACCGCCCGUCACACCAUGAGAGUUGGUAACACCCGAAGUCCGUGAGGUAACCGUAAGGAGCCAGCGGCCGAAGGUGGGAUUGAUGAUUGGGGUGAAGUCGUAACAAGGUAGCCGUAGGAGAACCUGCGGCUGGAUCACCUCCUUUCUAGGGAG